rnacentral:rRNA from 1 species
UACGUAGGCAGCAAGCGUUGUUCGGAAUUACUGGGCGUAAAGAGUGUGUAGGCGGUGCUCCAAGUCUGGUGUGAAAUCUCCCGGCUCAACUGGGAGGGUGCAUUAGAAACUGUAAUGCUAGAGGAUGGGAGAGGUAAGCGGAAUUCCUGGUGUAGCGGUGAAAUGCGUAGAUAUCAGGAGGAACACCUGUGGUGUAGACAGCUUACUGGACCAUUUCUGACGCUGAGACACGAAAGCGUGGGUAGCAAACAGG